UACGAAGGGGGCUAGCGUUGCUCGGAAUCACUGGGCGUAAAGCGCACGUAGGCGGAUUGCUAAGUCAGUGGUGAAAUCUCCGGGCUUAACUCGGAAACUGCCAUUGAUACUAUCUGUCUUGAAUACCGUGGAGGUUAGCGGAAUAUGUCAUGUAGCGGUGAAAUGCUUAGAUAUGACAUAGAACACCAAUUGCGAAGGCAGCUGGCUACACGAAUAUUGACACUGAUGCACGAAAGCGUGGGGAUCAAACAGG
rnacentral:rRNA from 1 species